ACUUCGUGUUUACGCACGAUAUUUAUAAUGAAUUAGACGUAAUUCGUCACUUAAUUAAUGUAAGAUUGAUUGUGCAUACAGGUCAAUUAGAUUAAGGCUGAUUAAGAGGAAUUAAAGUUAAGCGGAAAGGUAAAACUGCCUUCGCAAAGAAAGGAUUGUUUUUUUGCCAUUCGGAACAACUCAAUAACUGCAUCAAAAUAAACAAUGUCUGGAAGACAAGGUGGAAAGAAGAAACCUCUUAAACAGCCAAAAAAAGCUGAGAAUGAAAUGGAUGAUGAAGACCGAGCGUUUAAAGCAAAACAAAAGGAAGAAGCAAAGAAGUUAGCCGAGAUGAAAGCAAAGGCUGGAAAGAAAGGACCUUUAACUCAAGGUGGAAUAAAAAAGUCUGGAAAGAAGUGAAUCUAUUUUAUUAUGUUUGGUUUGCAAUAAAAAUUUGGUGUUUUAGUCCAGAGUGACAUUUUUGCUUUGUGCCAUAAAUAAUAAAACUUCGUUGCUUUUUUAAGUCUAUGGGUUAUAUUAAAUUAAUAUUGUUUUUGCUGCUGUUUGGAGAAUUUGAUUUAAACAGAAUGUUUUAACAUUGUUUGCAGAAUACAAUUUAUUAUUAGAGUUAACUGUACAUUUUUGUGUCUAUUGAAAUAAACAAACCCUACUUAAAA